rnacentral:rRNA from 1 species
UGAUAGGUCAUCUCAUCUGGAAGGAGAGAUGGCUUAAAGGGGUACGCGGGCUUCUUCCGCGAAUCUGCUCCAGGAUGGGACUGCGUCCGAUCAGGCUGUUGGCGGGGUAAUGGCCCACCAAACCUGUAACCGGUACGGGCCUUGAGAGAGGUGGCCCGGAGAUGGACACUGAGAGAAGGGUCCAGGUCCUACGGGGCGCAGCAGGCGCGAAACCUUCGCAAUGCGCGAAAGCGUGACGAGGUUAAUCCGAGUGACUCCCGCUGAGGGGGUCUUUUGUCAGCUGUAAAUAGGCAGGCGAAUAAGGGGAGGGCAAGCCUGGUGUCAGCCGCCGCGGUAAUACCAGCUCCUCGAGUGGUCGGGGCGAUUAUUGGGCCUAAAGCAUCCGUAGCCGGUUCCGUAGGUCCUCUGUUAAAUCCAACCGCUUAACGGUUGACCUGCAGAGGAUACCGCGGGACUAGGAGGCGGGAGAGGCGGACGGUACUCCGCGUGUAGGGGUAAAAUCCUUUGAUCCGCGGAAGACCACCAGUGGCGAAGGCGGUCCGCCAGAACGCGCUCGACGGUGAGGGAUGAAAGCUGGGGGAGCGAACCGGAUUAGAAUAC